UUGGAAGUAAAUUCCAAAGAAGAAAUUAGUGAACAUUAAAUUUCUAACCUGUUUAUGUCCUUCCAGCGUCUUCCCUGUCUAUAUGUGAUAGGAUGUUUAUGCAUUUGUAAUCAGUAUGCAUACAGUCCUGUGACUUACUAUUAUCAGCUACUAAUAGUCCAUAUGAAUAUGUCUGAUAUCUACAUAUGUGUCAUUUAUUUAAGCUCUAUGACAUUUCAUUAUGCCCCUAGACCAUAGUUUGCUUAAUAAUAGUAGCAGCAAGCUAUGUUCCCAUGAGCAGGUCUGUAUAGCCAUGAAGUUUUUUCUUUCAACAGAAAUUUUUUCUUCGUGCUAAUUUUCAAUCCAUAGUCUUAAUUUGACACAAUGUUACAGUUUCAUAAGAUAAUGCCAGCUGUCAUCCAUAUUCCUUAAUUCUGUUCUUUUCCCUCAAAGUUAGAGCGCUGCCGCCAUCUGUGCGCCGUGAGUACUGAUGAGGCCAGCAGUUCGUUGCUUUUGUCAUGUUUGAUGAUUUCCAGCUUUACUUGGGAUCACUUUACUAGCCUUUUCAUCAUUUCUCCACUUACAGUUGUCUGUCUGCAUUCUGCCUGGGAACACUAGGAUCAUUUCCAUCAUGCCCACAGUGGUGGUAAUGGACGUAUCCCUUUCCAUGACCCGGCCUGUGUCCAUCGAGGGGUCUGAGGAAUAUCAGCGCAAGCACCUAGCAGCCCACGGUUUGACGAUGCUGUUUGAGCACAUGGCCACAAAUUACAAGCUUGAGUUUACAGCCCUCGUGGUUUUUUCAUCACUCUGGGAACUGAUGGUUCCCUUCACAAGAGACUAUAACACCCUACAGGAAGCACUAAGUAAUAUGGAUGAUUAUGAUAAAACGUGCUUGGAAUCUGCAUUGGUUGGUGUUUGCAAUAUUGUUCAGCAAGAAUGGGGUGGUGCAAUUCCUUGCCAGGUAAUGAUCAAUUCUUUUCAU